GCCUGGCUGGCUCAGUUGGAAGAGCACAUGACUUUUGAUCUUGGGGUUGUGAGUUCAAGCCCCAUGUUGGGCA